AUGAUACUGAGGAAGAGAAAAAGGGAGAAUGGCACUGAAGCUCAUUCAAGUGGAUUUUCAGGAUUCUCUAGCUGCAGACCAACAAGACUGUCUGAACUGGUCUUGAAACAGAAAUGUGGUAUUUCAUUUCCUCUCAAGAUACCUGAUGGAACUUCUAGGGACCCACGAGUGAAUGCUCUUAAUUUUAAGGGCUGUAGGGGUAAGUAAAAUGUAGAACCCUACAAUUCAGUUUAGCUGUCUCACAACUUAUUUCUCACUAUUUAUUCUACUUUUCUGUGUGCUUUGCAGUAAGUCUAAUUCUGCUAAUCUCCUUUAUGAAUGCCAAAGGAAAUCACACUAUAAAACUGAUUAGUGUUUUCCAAAGGAAUAUUUUUUGCAAGAAACAGUAUCUUCAUGUUAUACAUUAGAUGCAGAAUAUAUUUUCAGAUUUUUUGAAUAACUCAUUUUUGAUGCAAGUAGUAAUAACUAUAUAAUAUAAAUUCAUAUAGAAUUAUUACAUAAAGAUAAACAAGAUGACAGAAAUGCCACACUAAGAGGAAGUCAGUUUCCAGUGAGCCGCUAGAGUUAGGAGAAAGGAUGUUUGACUGUGAAUUUUAAAAUUCCUCCUCUACACAUUGAUUAAGUAACAUCCCUAUUCUACUAUACAAAGUUCUAGCACCUCUCUUGCCCUUUUCUUGUACCAGAAAGCAACUGUACAGAACUUUGAAAGCACUGAUGAUGUUGCAGAUCCAACUGACUCCUCUCUUUCUUGGAAUAUCCUGCUUUCCACAACAGAGUAACUUUUGGCUUUGUAGAAUCAGAUAUAUACUGAUAUCUACUGCAAACCUCGGGUAUUUUUUCUUCUUACUGCCUUUGUAAAUAAUACCUAUUAAUAUUAAGCUGUUAGACAGUGGAGCUUUAAUUUUUUGUCAGUUCAAGUUAGAAUAUUGCCUGUUGUAGAUGACAAAUCACAUCUGUUCCUUAGCUGGGAAUACACAGCAUUGUUUUAGGGUUGCAGGGGAAAGGGGGUAAUAUAACAAACCAAUGUGCACAUGUAGCACAAAUGUGGGGGGCUCAAACAGCUGGGUCAGAGAUCAAAACUGGCACAUUUUCCUACAUCUAGGUGAGUAUGCAAAAGAGAUACUUGCUUCACUAAUAUUUUCCUGGGUUUGAAGUUUCAAAAUAGAAUUUAAAGCCAUAAAUAAUGUCUGGAUAUCUCCAUUUUAUCUUGAGGCUGUUGAAAACAACGAAAUACAAAAAAUUACAUGAGCAAGGCUGGAAAUAACAGCCAGAUUUAUGUGUCUUAGGCAGGUUUUUUAUUCAAUAUUGAUAUAUUAUUGAAAACUGUCUUCUGUGGCAAUCUGUGCUGGCCAGCAUGAUGGUGAUGGUGGAAUAGAAUAAGUGGGAUAUAUAUUAGGAAAUGAAUGUAAGCUAAAAUAUAUUUAUCAAUUAUGUUUGUAUGUAUUUAGAACAAGACUCUCUUCCUCAGCCCAAGUAUCCCUCGGCUAUCAUCUAUUUUUACUAUAAUUUCAGCAGAUGUAACAUGGAUUGCUGAGAUUUGCACUUUAUAUUAAGAUAUAUACAAUGGAUAAUUCUUAUUUACCUUCUACUAGACUGGUGAGAUGAAAGUGACAGAAUAUGGCUAAUCUCUGGUGCCAAAGGGAUUCCACCCAGAAGUGCCCAAUACUUACCUUUGUUGUUAGAUAGUCUGCUUGAGUUGUAGUGAAAAAUUAUUCUCUAGUACACUCAAAUGUGGAUGACUUCUUCAAGUGGCUCUCUCUGAGCUGCUACUGAACACAGUUCAUCCUGACUUGUUGGGGACAUGAUUAACACCCAAAAGUGACCUGCUGCAUAUCAGCCUAGGAUCAGAUGCCUAGAUGUCUGGUCCACUUUAUUUCUCCAGACAGUGCAUAACUAAAAAAUCACCUUGCACUGUGACAUCCUUUAUUCUUACAUUAUUGUUUGAAAUUCACUCUAUCAUCAGUACUGCAAUUGAUAGUUGAUUUUUUUUUUGCUUUCUUCUGAUUUUCUUUAAUUUUAAAUACUAUUUCUUAAUAGUUCUUUUUUUUUUCUCUCCACAGCUGUAUACUAGUGACCAGCCUAUUAUAAUAGAUCAGAUCAACAAUAAAAUCAAGAUGUUGAAGAUAUGCUAGAUAGCA
ensembl:lncRNA